GUAGGAGCGAGCCUGCUCGCGAUGGCGGAGUGUCAGUCAAUAUGUUGUUCACUGACCCAUCGCCAUCGCGAGCAGGCUCGCUCCUAC
rnacentral:antisense_RNA from 1 species